GAAAGGUGAAAAGCACCCCGGAAGGGGAGUGAAAUAGAACCUGAAACCGUGUGCUUACAAGUAGUCAGAGCCCGUUAAUGGGUGAUGGCGUGCCUUUUGUAGAAUGAACCGGCGAGUUACGAUUUGAUGCAAGGUUAAGCAGUAAAUGUGGAGCCGUAGCGAAAGCGAGUCUGAAUAGGGCGUUUAGUAUUUGGUCGUAGACCCGAAACCAGGUGAUCUACCCUUGGUCAGGUUGAAGUUCAGGUAACACUGAAUGGAGGACCGAACCGACUUACGUUGAAAAGUGAGCGGAUGAACUGAGGGUAGCGGAGAAAUUCCAAUCGAACCUGGAGAUAGCUGGUUCUCUCCGAAAUAGCUUUAGGGCUAGCCUCAAGUGAUGAUUAUUGGAGGUAGAGCACUGUUUGGACGAGGGGCCCCUCUCGGGUUACCGAAUUCAGACAAACUCCGAAUGCCAAUUAAUUUAACUUGGGAGUCAGAACAUGGGUGAUAAGGUCCGUGUUCGAAAGGGAAACAGCCCAGACCACCAGCUAAGGUCCCAAAAUAUAUGUUAAGUGGAAAAGGAUGUGGCGUUGCCCAGACAACUAGGAUGUUGGCUUAGAAGCAGCCAUCAUUUAAAGAGUGCGUAAUAGCUCACUAGUCGAGUGACACUGCGCCGAAAAUGUACCGGGGCUAAACAUAUUACCGAAGCUGUGGAUUGUCCUUUGGACAAUGGUAGGAGAGCGUUCUAAGGGCGUUGAAGCAUGAUCGUAAGGACAUGUGGAGCGCUUAGAAGUGAGAAUGCCGGUGUGAGUAGCGAAAGACGGGUGAGAAUCCCGUCCACCGAUUGACUAAGGUUUCCAGAGGAAGGCUCGUCCGCUCUGGGUUAGUCGGGUCCUAAGCUGAGGCCGACAGGCGUAGGCGAUGGAUAACAGGUUGAUAUUCCUGUACCACCUAUAAUCGUUUUAAUCGAUGGGGGGACGCAGUAGGAUAGGCGAAGCGUGCGAUUGGAUUGCACGUCUAAGCAGUAAGGCUGAGUAUUAGGCAAAUCCGGUACUCAUUAAGGCUGAGCUGUGAUGGGGAGAAGACAUUGUGUCUUCGAGUCGUUGAUUUCACACUGCCGAGAAAAGCCUCUAGAUAGAAAAUAGGUGCCCGUACCGCAAACCGACACAGGUAGUCAAGAUGAGAAUUCUAAGGUGAGCGAGCGAACUCUCGUUAAGGAACUCGGCAAAAUGACCCCGUAACUUCGGGAGAAGGGGUGCUCUUUAGGGUUAACGCCCAGAAGAGCCGCAGUGAAUAGGCCCAAGCGACUGUUUAUCAA
rnacentral:rRNA from 1 species